GAUCCUGGCUCAGGAUGAACGCUGGCGGCGUGCUUAACACAUGCAAGUCGAGCGAAGCACUUAGGAAAGAUUCUUCGGAUGAUUUUCUAUUUGACUGAGCGGCGGACGGGUGAGUAACGCGUGGGUAACCUGCCUCAUACGAGGGGGAUAACAGUUAGAAAUGACUGCUAAUACCGCAUAAGACCACAGCACCGCAUGGUGCGAAGGGGUAAAACGUCCGGUGGUAUGAGAUGGACCCGCGU
rnacentral:rRNA from 1 species